UACGUAGGUGGCAAGCGUUGUCCGGAUUUAUUGGGUUUAAAGGGUGCGUAGGCGGGUUAUUAAGUCAGUGGUGAAAGCCUGCAGCUUAACUGCAGAAUUGCCAUUGAUACUGAUGAUCUUGAGUAUGAUUGAGGUGGGCGGAAUGUGUCAUGUAGCGGUGAAAUGCUUAGAUAUGACACAGAACACCGAUUGCGAAGGCAGCUCACUAAGUCAUAACUGACGCUGAUGCACGAAAGCGUGGGGAGCAAACAGG
rnacentral:rRNA from 1 species